GCCUGAUCCAGCCAUGCCGCGUGCAGGAUGACGGUCCUAUGGAUUGUAAACUGCUUUUGCACAGGAAAAAACACUCCGACGUGUCGGAGCUUGACGGUACUGUGAGAAUAAGGAUCGGCUAACUCCGUGCCAGCAGCCGCGGUAAUACGGAGGAUCCAAGCGUUAUCCGGAAUCAUUGGGUUUAAAGGGUCCGUAGGCGGUCUUGUAAGUCAGUGGUGAAAGCCCAUCGCUCAACGGUGGAACGGCCAUUGAUACUGCAGGACUUGAAUUAUUGGGAAGUAACUAGAAUAUGUAGUGUAGCGGUGAAAUGCUUAGAGAUUACAUGGAAUACCAAUUGCGAAGGCAGGUUACUACCAAUGGAUUGACGCUGAUGGACGAAAGCGUGGGUAGCGAACAGGAUUAGAUACCCUGGUAGUCCACGCCGUAAACGAUGGAUACUAGCUGUUGGGAGCAAUCUCAGUGGCUAAGCGAAAGUGAUAAGUAUCCCACCUGGGGAGUACGAACGCAAGUUUGAAACUCAAAGGAAUUGACGGGGGCCCGCACAAGCGGUGGAGCAUGUGGUUUAAUUCGAUGAUACGCGAGGAACCUUACCAAGGCUUAAAUGCAGACUGACCGAUUUGGAAACAGAUCUUUCGCA
rnacentral:rRNA from 1 species